GGCCUCCCAAAGUGCUGGGAUUACAGCCAUAAGCCACAGCGCCCGGCCAAACUCCUUGUUCUACUCUUUCCCCCUUCUCACUACUGCACUUGACUGUCUUUA
rnacentral:sRNA from 1 species